rnacentral:rRNA from 1 species
GGAUGGCGCUGAAGCGUCGUGCCUAUACUCGGCCGUCAACGGCAAAGUGGGCGGCCCCCUAGCGGGGGUCGGGCCGUUACGCCUUGACGAGUAGGAGGGUCGCGGCGGUGUGCACUGAAGGGUCACGGCGUGAGCCGGCCUGGAGCCGCCGUCGGCGCAGAUCUUGGUGGUAGUAGCAAAUACUCCAGAGAGGGCCUGGAGGGCUGAUGUGGAGAAGGGUUUCUUGUGAACAGCUGUUGCACAAGAGUCAGUCGAUCCUAAGCCCUAGGAGAAAUCCCACGUUGAUGGGGCGAAAGGGAAUCCGGUUCCUAUUCCGGAACCCGGUAGCGUAACCGUUCCAAAUCGGGCCCUCGCGAUUGCUCGACGGGGUAACCCAAAGAGACCCGGAGACGCCGUCGGGAGAUCCGGAGAGAGUUUUCUUUUCUCUGUAAGCGUUCGAGUUCCCUGGAAUCCUCUAGCAGGGAGAUAGGGUUUGGAACGCGAAGAGCACCGCAGUUGCAGCGGUGUCCGGAUCUUCCCCUCGGACCUUGAAAAUCCGGGAGAGGGCCACGUGGAAUGUUCGCACCGGACCGUACCCAUAUCCGCAGCAGGUCUCCAAGG